rnacentral:rRNA from 1 species
UACGUAGGGGGCAAGCGUUGUCCGGAUUUAUUGGGCGUAAAGAGCGUGUAGGCGGCCAGGUAGGUCUGAUGUGAAAACUCGAGGCUUAACCUCGAGAUGUCGGCGGAAACCAUCUGGCUAGAGUCCGGAAGAGGAGAAUGGAAUUCCCGGUGUAGCGGUGAAAUGCGCAGAUAUCGGGAGGAACACCAAUGGCGAAGGCAGAUCUCUGGGCCGUAACUGACGCUGAGGAGCGAAAGCAUGGGGAGCGAACAGG